rnacentral:rRNA from 1 species
UACGGAGGGUGCAAGCGUUGUCCGGAUUUAUUGGGUUUAAAGGGUGCGUAGGCGGCCCGUUAAGUCAGUGGUGAAAUCCCAGGGCUCAACCCUGGAACUGCCAUUGAUACUGACGGGCUUGAGUUCGGUUAAGGCGGGCGGAACUGGUGGUGUAGCGGUGAAAUGCGCAGAUAUCAGGAGGAACACCAGCGGCGAAGGCGGCGCUCUGGGCCGGAACUGACGCUGAGGAGCGAAAGCGUGGGUAGCAAACAGG